UACGUAGGGUCCGAGCGUUGUCCGGAAUUAUUGGGCGUAAAGAGCUCGUAGGCGGUUUGUCGCGUCUGCUGUGAAAUCCCGAGGCUCAACCUCGGGUCUGCAGUGGGUACGGGCAGACUGGAGUGCGGUAGGGGAGAAUGGAAUUCCUGGUGUAGCGGUGGAAUGCGCAGAUAUCAGGAGGAACACCGAUGGCGAAGGCAGUUCUCUGGGCAGUAACUGACGCUGAGGAGCGAAAGCGUGGGGAGCGAACAGG
rnacentral:rRNA from 1 species